rnacentral:lncRNA from 1 species
AAGGCUGAAAAUGUUGAUUUUUUUGUCACCUAGGAAAAUUCUAAAAAUGUUGGGUUUUGUCACCUAGGAGAAUUCUGUCACUGGUUCUUUGACCUUGACAAUUUUUAGAAUCUGGGACCAGCUGAAGAUGAAUUGGAGUCAUAGCAGUUCUGGCACGAUGUAAAGUUUAGGUUUUAUUGCAGCACCUCAGAAUUACCAUUAGUAGAAGUUCUUUUUUUCUCCCAAUCUAGAUUUCUGUGUGCUACUUCACAUCACAGAUUAGUUACAGCAUGAGCUGCAGUGAUUGUCCAUGGAGGAAACACUAGCUUGAGGAUCCUGAGCUAAUUUUCUUUUAAAACUUACCCACUGUUCUUUUUCGAAAUGUACUUCGAAAAUGAAAUCUAUCAAUAUGAGAAUUGUUAGAGAAAGUUCCUUAGCACCAGGAACAUCACAGAACAAAGCUGUUACAUUUGAACAGGGUGAUCUGCAGACCUUUUAUGAUGUAAUUACUGUGUGU